rnacentral:rRNA from 1 species
UACGAAGGGGGCUAGCGUUGCUCGGAAUCACUGGGCGUAAAGGGCGCGUAGGCGGCGCAACAAGUCACUUGUGAAAUCUCCGGGCUUAACCCGGAGCGGCCAAGUGAUACUGUCGUGCUAGAGUGCGGAAGGGGCUACUGGAAUUCUCGGUGUAGCGGUGAAAUGCGUAGAUAUCAGGAGGAACACCUACGGCGAAGGCAGCUCGCUGGGACGGUACUGACGCUGAGACGCGAAAGCGUGGGGAGCAAACAGG